rnacentral:lncRNA from 1 species
CCCUCCGACCGGGCUAGCACUCCCUCACCCGGUCGUUUCUACCUGUAUCAGGAGGCCUUCCGUGUCGGACUCUGGUUUUUGCUUCCGCCCUUUGUCGUCGCCCUUUUCCGCUUCUUAGAUAUCUCUUUAGCUUCAGUUGCUCCGAAUUCCUUUAGGUUUUUGAUAGGGUUCCUCUCCCUUUGCCACGUAGUCGAAGUUCAGCCAUCCCUUUCUUUGUUUAGGUAUUUUUAUAUCUUCAAGCGUCACC